GACGAACGCUGGCGGCGUGCUUAACACAUGCAAGUCGAACUGAAAGGCCCUGCUUUUGUGGGGUGCUCGAGUGGCGAACGGGUGAGUAACACGUGAGUAACCUGCCCUUGACUUUGGGAUAACUUCAUGAAACUGGGGCUAAUACCGGAUAGGAGCUCCUGCUGCAUGGUGGGGGUUGGAAAGUUUCGGCGGUUGGGGAUGGACUCGCGGCUUAUCAGCUUGUUGGUGGGGUAGUGGCUUACCAAGGCUUUGACGGGUAGCCGGCCUGAGAGGGUGACCGGCCACAUUGGGACUGAGAAACGGCCCAGACUCCUAAGGGAAGCAGCAGUGGGGAAUAUUGCACAAUGGGCGGAAGCCGGAUGCAGCAACGCCGCGUGCGGGAUGACGGCCUUCGGGUUGUAAACCGCUUUCGCCUGUGACGAAGCGUGAGUGACGGUAAUGGGUAAAGAAGCACCGGCUAACUACGUG
rnacentral:rRNA from 1 species